rnacentral:lncRNA from 1 species
CUUCCUUCUCCUUCACAGGUGUUGGCACUGUGCAGGCACAGCACUCUUUCUGCUUCCUCCUGCCCCCUCCCUUUGAUUCUUCUUGGCAGCUUUCCCCACACCAGUUCCUAUGAGGGAGGCUAAUCACAAAUGCAAUGAUGACAGGAGGAUGUAGGGCCUCUGGAAGGGAGUUAGGUCACAAAGGCUGGGCAGCUGUCUUGCCCCUUCCACCACCGGAGGGCCUAGAAGCCAGAAAAAGGGUCCUCGCUAGGACUGAAUCAGCUGCAGCCUUGAUCUCGUACUUCCCAGACGCUAGAACUGUGAGAAAUAAAAAAAUCUUUUUCGUAGUCCUGGGGAGCACAAACAUUUGAGAAAUACAUUCGUGUGAGUCAGGAUACUGUGGCACCUAUGAAGUGUUCCAGAGCCAGAUGACCUGAGUUAAAAUCAAGUUCUGCCACUUACUACCUUGGACCUUAACUCCAAGCCACAGCCGCAUCUCUACCACGUCACGGGAUUUUUGCCCUCAGAUCCAGUCUGAGCCAUGUCCGAAAGCAGAGGAUUCAGUUAAGGCACCAGAGGUUGGUGUGCUCAACCACAGACUGGGCAGGACAGGGCGUGGGCCAUUAUCCUUCCCUCCACUGGCCUUUGCUUCACCUCAGACAAGAUUUGCAGGCUGCAAACCAGUGCUAGCUCCGGUACCACUGGCUUCAGGGACAUUAUGAGAACUUGCUCACUGUGAGAGCAAGACAUCUCAGAACAGUCUCCAUAAUGUCCCCAAGUUGGGGAAGCCAGCAGUCAUGUCACAAGGAUAACACAAGUAACCUGUGACAAGGACCUGAAGCCACUUGCCACAGCCAUGUGAGUGCCCCAUCUUGGAAGCAGGUUCCCUGGGCCUGUUCAAGCUUUCAGAUUACUGCAGCCCUACCUGAUGGCUUCAUUACAAUCUUGUAAGAUGCUCUGAGCAAGAACCACCCAACUAACCUACUCUUAGCUUCCUGCCCUGCAGAGUCUUUGAGGUGUGGAAAGAUGCUGAGGUACAGGAAGAAUUCUGUGAGGCUGGGGCUGGAGUCAAGGUUACCCCCU